GAUGAACGCUCGCUACAGGCUUAACACAUGCAAGUCGAGGGGAAACGCCAUCGCAAGCUUGCUUUUGAUGGGCGUCGACCGGCGCACGGGUGAGUAACGCGUAUCCAACCUGCCCAUCACUUGGGAAUAACCUUGCGAAAGUAAGACUAAUACCCAAUGAUAUCCCACGAAGGCAUCGGGAUGGGAUUAAAGAUUUAUCGGUGAUGGAUGGGGAUGCGUCUGAUUAGCUUGUUGGCGGGGUAACGGCCCACCAAGGCAACGAUCAGUAGGGGUUCUGAGAGGAAGGUCCCCCACAUUGGAACUGAGACACGGUCCAAACUCCUACGGGAGGCAGCAGUGAGGAAUAUUGGUCAAUGGGCGAGAGCCUGAACCAGCCAAGUAGCGUGCAGGAAGACGGCCCUAUGGGUUGUAAACUGCUUUUAUAAGGGAAUAAAGUGGGUCACGUGUGACUUUUUGCAUGUACCUGAUGAAUAAGGACCGGCUAAUUCCGUG
rnacentral:rRNA from 1 species